AGGAUCAUUAUGAGGGCGAUGAUAGAUCUAGAUAGACUGGCACACAAAUCAUUUUCUUCGGGAUAGAUGGGUCUCUAAUCUACUGUGUGGUGACACAGGAUGAUAAGUAUGGGUGGUUGUUAGAGAACAACUAGCACUGAGCGUGAUCAUACGAGAGAUCACUUGAAUUUCUAUUCAAUCAUCAGUGAUUGUUUCGAUGCUGUAGUUGUGUGAUUGAUCUUUUGACUUGAGAUGGUACUGC
rnacentral:lncRNA from 1 species